GGCGGCGUGCCUAACACAUGCAAGUCGUACGAGAAAGUUGGCUUCGGCCGAUGAGUAAAGUGGCGCACGGGUGAGUAAUGCGUGGAUAAUCUGCCCCUUUAGUUGGGAAUAACGUACCGAAAGGUGCGCUAAUACCUGAUAAUACUGCAUAACUACUGUUGUGUAGUCAAAGAAGGCCUCUGUUUACAAGCUUUUGCUGAAGGAUGAGUCCGCGUACCAUUAGCUGGUUGGUGGGGUAAUGGCCUACCAAGGCUACGAUGGUUAGCUGGUCUGAGAGGAUGAUCAGCCACACUGGAACUGAGACACGGUCCAGACUCCUACGGGAGGCAGCAGUGAGGAAUAUUGCGCAAUGGGGGCAACCCUGACGCAGCAACGCCGCGUGAGUGAGGAAGGUUUUCGGACCGUAAAGCUCUGUCGAGCGGGAAGAAAUGUAUCAUGGCUAAUAUCCAUGAUACUUGACGGUACCGCUAAAGGAAGCACCGGCUAACUCCGUG
rnacentral:rRNA from 1 species